UAGGGAAUCUUCGGCAAUGGACGAAAGUCUGACCGAGCAACGCCGCGUGAGUGAGGAAGGUCUUCGGAUCGUAAAGCUCUGUUGCCAGGGAAGAACAGCCCGGGGAGGGAAUGCCCCGGGUGUGACGGUACCUGAGAAGAAAGCCCCGGCUAACUACGUGCCAGCAGCCGCGGUAAUACGUAGGGGGCAAGCGUUGUCCGGAAUUAUUGGGCGUAAAGCGCGCGCAGGCGGUUCUUUAAGUCUUGUGUUUAAUCCCGGGGCUCAACCCCGGUUCGCAUGGGAAACUGGAGGACUGGAGUGCAGGAGAGGAAAGUGGAAUUCCACGUGUAGCGGUGAAAUGCGUAGAUAUGUGGAGGAACACCAGUGGCGAAGGCGACUUUCUGGCCUGUAACUGACGCUGAGGCGCGAAAGCGUGGGGAGCAAACAG
rnacentral:rRNA from 1 species